GAUGAACGCUGGCGGCGUGCCUAAUACAUGCAAGUCGAGCGAAGCGGGGGCGGGUGAGGAACACGUGGAUAACCUCCUAUCAGACUGGGAUAACUUCGGGAAACCGGAGAUAUACCGGAUACUUAUAGAGGGAUGCGCGCUGCAUUAGCUAGUUAGUAAGGUAACGGCUUACCAAGGCAACGAUGAAUAGACGAGCAUAGAGUGUGAGCAAGCACACGGGAACUGAGACACGGUCCAGACUCCUACGGUAUGCAGCAGUAGGGAAUCUUCCGCAAUGGGCGAAAGCCUGACAGAGCCAAGCCGCGUGUGUGAAGAAGGUCUUCGGAUCGUAAAACGCUGUAAGUAGGGAAGCGGUACCUACACAGUAAGCCCCGGCUAACUACGUGCCAGCAGCGGCGGUAAUUC
rnacentral:rRNA from 1 species